CAACCAUAGGUACCCAAUCCCCCGAAUAAUCCAACACUUGCUG
rnacentral:sRNA from 1 species